rnacentral:rRNA from 1 species
GACGAACGCUGGCGGCGUGCUUAACACAUGCAAGUCGAACGGAAAGGCCCUGCUUUUGUGGGGUGCUCGAGUGGCGAACGGGUGAGUAACACGUGAGUAACCUGCCCUUGACUUUGGGAUAACUUCAGGAAACUGGGGCUAAUACCGGAUAGGAGCUCCUGCUGCAUGGUGGGGGUUGGAACGUUUCGGCGGUUGGGGAUGGACUCGCGGCUUAUCAGCUUGUUGGUGGGGUAGUGGCUUACCCAGGCUUUGACGGGUAGCCGGCCUGAGAGGGUGACCGGCCACAUUGGGACUGAGAUACGGCCCAGACUCCUACGGGAGGCAGCAGGGGGGAAUAUUGCACAGUGGGAGGAAGCCUGAUGCAGCAACGCCGCGUGCGGGAUGACGGCCUUCGGGUUGUAAACCGCUUUCGCCUGUGACGAAGCGUGAGUGACGGUAAUGGGUAAAGAAGCACCGGCUAACUACGUG